GAUGAACGCUGGCGGCGUGCCUAACACAUGCAAGUCGAGCGAUUCUCUUCGGAGAAGAGCGGCGGACGGGUGAGUAACGCGUGGGUAACCUGCCCUGUACACACGGAUAACAUACCGAAAGGUAUGCUAAUACGAGAUAAUAUGCUUUUAUCGCAUGGUAGAAGUAUCAAAGUUUUUGCGGUACAGGAUGGACCCGCGUCUGAUUAGCUAGUUGGUAAGGUAACGGCUUACCAAGGCGACGAUCAGUAGCCGACCUGAGAGGGUGAUCGGCCACAUUGGAACUGAGACACGGUCCAAACUCCUACGGGAGGCAGCAGUGGGGAAUAUUGCACAAUGGGCGAAAGCCUGAUGCAGCAACGCCGCGUGAGCGAUGAAGGCCUUCGGGUCGUAAAGCUCUGUCCUCAAGGAAGAUAAUGACGGUACUUGAGGAGGAAGCCCCGGCUAACGUACGUG
rnacentral:rRNA from 1 species